rnacentral:pre_miRNA from 1 species
UGUAAACAUCCUUGACUGGAAGCUGUAAGGCGUUCCGAGGAGCUUUCAGUCGGAUGUUUACA